rnacentral:rRNA from 1 species
AUUGAACGCUGGCGGCAGGCCUAACACAUGCAAGUCGAGCGGUAACAGGAAGAAGCUUGCUUCUUUGCUGACGAGUGGCGGACGGGUGAGUAAUGUCUGGGAAACUGCCUGAUGGAGGGGGAUAACUACUGGAAACGGUAGCUAAUACCGCAUAACGUCGCAAGACCAAAAAGGGGGACCUUCGGGCCUCUUGCCAUCGGAUGUGCCCAGAUGGGAUUAGCUAGUAGGUGGGGUAACGGCUCACCUAGGCGACGAUCCCUAGCUGGUCUGAGAGGAUGACCAGCCACACUGGAACUGAGACACGGUCCAGACUCCUACGGGAGGCAGCAGUGGGGAAUAUUGCACAAUGGGCGCAAGCCUGAUGCAGCCAUGCCGCGUGUAUGAAGAAGGCCUUCGGGUUGUAAAGUACUUUCAGCGUGGAGGAAGGGAGUAAAGUUAAUACCUUUGCUCAUUGACGUUACCCGCAGAAGAAGCACCGGCUAACUCCGUG